GAGAGAGGAAGGACGGCCGCCGGGCCUUUGGCCUGAGGAAAGUCUCCCCACCAUCUAAACACACGAGUGCCUGUAAAGGGCACCAGGCGAGAGUCCGGGCAGUUGCAAUGCAACUCAUGCAGAUCCUGCAUGCUGGCACAGAAACGAUACCGCACCAUGUUAAUGCUGUGAUGCCGGAAGGUUGAGGUCGCAUGAAUGCGGAUGGAACGGCGAAUCCUCGUGGGUGCAAGUCGGGAGGGGUAAAUGGGUGUUUAGCCCAUCCCUCGGUAUAUGACGCUUAGCCGAAUGCCGUCAAUGCAGCUUGCAAGAGCGCAUUAUCCUGCCAGGCGGGAUAAUGUAUUGCAUCAACAGAAGGGAGCUUAUUCUCCUCACUC
rnacentral:RNase_P_RNA from 1 species